CAUCCCGUGAGGGCGUGUGGGGUGGAAGCCCGAGGCGAAUCGGAGUCCCGAAUGAAAGUGAAUCCCCGUAAGGCUGGUCUGUCUGGGCAAGCGUGCCGUUCAACGCGACGCCCGAUAUCCAACCGCGGCAGGACAGUAGUGGGGGCGGCGGCGACGAGAAGUCAUUCAUC
rfam:Marine metagenome ctg_1101668641922, whole genome shotgun sequence.